AUUGAACGCUAGCGGGAUGCCUAACACAUGCAAGUCGAACGGAGCGGCGAACGGGUGAGUAAUGCAUAGGAAUGUGCCUAGUAGCGGGGGAUAACUACGCGAAAGCGUAGCUAAUACCGCAUACUAUCGGAGCGGCCGAUGUCGGAUUAGCUAGUUGGUGGGGUAACGGCUUACCAAGGCGACGAUCCGUAGCUGGUUUGAGAGGAUGACCAGCCACACUGGAACUGAGACACGGCCCAGACUCCUACGGGAGGCAGCAGUGGGGAAUAUUGGACAAUGGGCGAAACCCUGAUCCAGCCAUCCCGCGUGUGCGAAGAAGGCCUUCGGGUUGUAAAGCACUUUUAGCAGGGAGGCGGUACCUGCAGAAUAAGCACCGGCUAACUACGUGCCAGCCGCCGCGGUAAUAC
rnacentral:rRNA from 1 species